AAUCUGAUAUUGGAAAGUGAAGUUAUAUCAAUGUUUAUGUAAUUAUUGGAAAUCUAACGAGAAUAAUAAAUGUAUAAGAAAUGUGUAUAUAAAUCAAGUGUCUCACGUGGCUGUGAGCUUCCUGUCAUAAUCUACACAAUUGCCGUCGCCCACUGGGGACACUUACUUUGUAAGGCAAUCAGAUUAUGUUUGGAUAUUUGCCCAAUAAAGUAUUGCGUGCAACGAAAUGAUUGAGAUGAUCGCUUGCAUGUCUUUCCAUGGGGAAACCUAAAGUUGAAGUCUGAUUUUAGGUGACGACCAUGGUAAGAAUCUAGGUUGUGUUUGUUGGGUCUUUUACGUUCUAGUAUUAGACAAUACCAGGGACUACUGUGUAGCAGAGCCAGUGGCAUGGUCGAGUAAGCUGACUGUACGAAGUCAGACGGUCUGGUUGUUUGGAGGUGCAUGAAGCAAACUGGUGCGGCCAAUUGGAGUUGCAUGCACAAGCAGACUGGUAUAGACGUCUGAAAGGUGCAGAAGCGGACUGGCCUAGUUGGCUGGUGGUAUACGACGGUACAACGGUUGGUAGAAGACGGUGGUCGAGAGGUGGUGCGGAGCAAUAUAUCAGACUGGUGUCAACGUCAACGGGGCAGUAUAUUUCUGCCAAACGGAUCCACGGCGAAAAGUUGUACCGGACUAGGAAAACCUACCAGCAGAAGGCAAUCCUGACAAGAUAAGCUGCUGGGAAGAACAUCGACAGGAACCGGUUUCGUUACAUGUGGUGUCAGAAGUGGGAUCCAGUGACAAUGGCACAAGGAAGAAAUAGGCAGAAUCGACCAACGCCAGGAGAAAUGAUGAAGCACUUAGAAAGGAGUAUGACAGAAGUAGAUCAAAUGAUGGAGCAACUACGUGCUUCGAUGAGUCAGGAAUCAGUUGCAGACUCAGAACCAGGUCGCCAGGAGGCAUUU